rfam:Brachypodium distachyon strain Bd21 chromosome 4, whole genome shotgun sequence.
AAUCUACUACUUCCGUCCAACAAAAGAUGUCUAAUUUUAACAAAAUUUGAAUGCAUCUACACACUAAAUUAUGUCUAGAUACAUCUAAAUUUUGACAAACUUGAAACAUCUUUCGUUGGACUGAGGGAGUAUUAG